AGUGAACGCUGGCGGUAGGCCUAACACAUGCAAGUCGAACGGCAGCACAGUAAGAGCUUGCUCUUACGGGUGGCGAGUGGCGGACGGGUGAGGAAUACAUCGGAAUCUACUUUUUCGUGGGGGAUAACGAAGGGAAACUUACGCUAAUACCGCAUACGACCUACGGGUGAAAGCAGUGGAUCUUCGGACCUUGCGCGAUUGAAUGAGCCGAUGUCGGAUUAGCUAGUUGGCGGGGUAAAGGCCCACCAAUGCGUCGAUCCGUAGCUGGUCUGAGAGGAUGAUCAGCCCCACUGGAACUGAGACACGGUCCAGACUCCUACGGGGGGCAGCAGUGGGGAAUAUUGGACAAUGGGCGCAAGCCUGAUCCAGCCAUACCGCGUGGGUGAAGAAGGCCUUCGGGUUGUAAAGCCCUUUUGUUGGGAAAGAAAAGCAGCAGGUUAAUAACACGCUGUUCUGACGGUACCCAAAGAAUAAGCACCGGCUAACUUCGUG
rnacentral:rRNA from 1 species